UCUGCAGCAGUCCAUUGAAGGGCUUCAUAUGAGUGUGCAUGCUAGAAAACAAAGCCUCUACCGUCAGAAUGACAGCAACAAGCUUCGUCAUCGCUUAUGCUCUAGGUUGGCAGAGGAUAAAAGGCGGCUUUUUGAGCAGGUCUCAAAAUACAAUGGCACGGUACCUGAAGAUGUCAACAUCAAUGUGGCUGUGUUAGAGGGGUCGCUGGCUGGAUCGAGUGCAGAGUCACUGCUAUGGCCAUGGGAGGUGCUUUGCAAUGAAUCACUAGUGUCCAUUGCAACAAAAAAGAGGAUGCAUGAUCAACAUAUGCUGACCACACGCCUGCAAGAGGAGAGGACGAUCCUGGUCUGGGAGAUGGCCCAACACUGC